ACUUGAAAAUCAGAAGCCAUUCUAAUGUUACGUGUAUCACUAAUAUAUUAUAGCAUUUCAACUGUCUAGAGAAAAAAUCCCAUAAAGCAAUAGUCCGCAAGUUUCUAUUGAUGGAUCAUUCAUAAUAAAUGUAAUAAAUUCCAGGGCAGCAUUAUGACUCAUGACGGUAUUUUUAAAAAUUCAUUAAUCAGCAAAAAAAAAAAAAUAAUUAAAAAAUUGUGGAGCUAACGGCGAAAAAAAAUAGUUUUAUUUUGUACAUUUGUUCAGGCACAUCUUUAGAUUCACAAUGUAAUGAAACUCACAAAUAUGUUUUAAAUAAAAUAAAUGUAAACAAAAUGUCUUCAAACUUCAACUUUCUAUUUAUUAUGUAAGUAAAUUAAGGCUGUGUCUCUCUUGCUGAACUCAUUGCAAUCCAACCAGCAGCCACAGUUUGGUGAUUAGCUUGUCUGGAACGUUUCUGUUCCAUAGUUGUUGAUACUACUUUUCCUUUGGAUUAUUUCAUUCUACACCUACAUGGUUUGUUUAGCUUGCCGUACCAUCUGUUGAACAGAUUUCAGGUGUAACAAUUAGCAGACGUUACUGCAAAAAGAAGAUAAUUACGUCCUACUCAUUUCAUGUGUCAAUCUAGUCAUGCAUGUUAAUGAAAGACUUACUCUGCCUAGUCAUUGGUGUAUCCUGGCGGAUUCAGGCAACCGAUUCCAUUCUCUAAUGGCACUUGGGAAGAAGGAGCACUUAUUGAAUUAGUUCUAGCGUAUGGAAUAAGAAAUGUGCCUCUA